AAAAUUUAUGGAAGUAUGCCCAAGAAGUAUCUGUCUCUGGAGAGAGAGCACUAAACAUCUGGACUGGGAAGAAGACACUUUUCAUGUCCAAUGCAACUCUUCUGGACAGCUCUUCUCCAAGUGAGGACUCAAUGACACCGGUUUGUCUCCAUCUUGUAAUUGCACCAUCUGGAAUAUUCCAAGAUGGUGGCCAAUGGUUUUCCAUUUGUCAAAACUCAUAGAACUAUAUUUGAAAAGAAGAAAUUUUAUUGCAUGUAAAUUAUACCUUAAUAAACCUGCAUUAAAAUAA